rnacentral:lncRNA from 1 species
CUUCCCGUCGGUACCCAGGAGGGAGCACAGCCUGCAAUGGCCGCCUUAUCUCACCCUCGCCCAUGGCCCCGCAGACAUGAGGUCAGGGCCGGGGAUGUAAUGAGGGUGGGAGGUGGGAGGCAGUGGAGGGUCAGGGAGAGGUCAGAGGUCGCUGGCAAAGCUGUUGCUGCACUUUGGAGGUGAGGGUGGGGGGCAAAGCAGACCCUUAAGGGACCUCAGCCAGGCCCCAGGGCUGGGGGUGGCAAGAGGUUCGUGUCAUCACAGUGUGGCCGGGUCAGGGGAACAGGGACAGGUGCCCCAGGCCAGGGGAGAGAGGGCCCCAAACCCCAGCCCCUUCCAGAAUCUUAUCUCCAGGGGAGAGAGGGACCCAGAUUAGGAUUUUCUAUCUAAGACAGUCCACACCCCUACCCCUUCCAGAAUCUUAUUUCCAGGGAAGGGAGGGCCCCAGAUUAGAAUCUCCGAUCUGAGCCUGUCCUCACUCCCAACCCCUUCCAGAAUCUUCUUUCCAGAGGAGAGAGGGCCCCAGAUUAUGAUUUUCGAUCUGAGACAGUCCACACCCCUACCCCUUCCAGAAUCUUCUUUCCAGGGGAGAGAGGACCCCAGAUUAGGAUCUCCGAUCUGAGACGGUACGCACCCUCUACCCCUUCUAGAAUCUUCUCUUGUUUCUCCAAUGGCCCUUUGAGGCCAAUCCCCUUCUGGCCAAAACACACGGCCAGACAAGAAAGCCAUUGAGAGAACAAGCAAGGGUGUGUCUGUGCCCACUGGGGUGUCCCCAGAGCUCUUUGGGCAUCUGUGUCUUACCCCUUUCAUCAUCCAACAAAGGGUGACUCAACACCAGCACCAGCCCCGCGCCUUCGUCCCGGGAGGGCUGAGUCCUUCUGCGGCGUUGGGUCUGGGUCCCAGGGCUUGCCAGUUCUGCCGAUGCCUGUCACCUGGGUGCAAGCCUGUGUGUGGGCCCACAUGUGUGCCUGCAGAUGUCUCUGCAUGUGACAUGUGCAUGCCAAGUGUCCAGCUGUCUAUCCCUUAUGCUUAGUCUCUGAGUCUGGGCUGACUGUGCUGAUGGCACUUUUUCCAAAGGUUCCUGGUAACUGGGACAAGUCAGUGUGUCCUCCAGCUUGUUGUCAGGGGUCCCUGGGCAGUGCUAGGCAGCAGCUUUUGGAUGGGCAGUCAGUCGGUCAACAUAUGUUUAUUUUGGGGUGUAUAUAGGCGGUCCUGGGGGCUUGCUGUCUCAUCUGCCUCCAUCCACCGGUCUGCAGGGACUGCAAAUGAGGACAUAGUUGUCCCCUCUGGCCGGUGUUGCUGUGUGUCUCUGUAGUUAAAGGUGUACCCUGGAGCCCUUCCCCUUCCCUGGGUGCCUGGUUUGUGGGGUUUCUGUCCUGGGUUAGCAGGGGGCAGGGGGACCUAAUCCAUGGUCAAUACCUCCCUCCACCUCACUCCCCAGCAGAAAACCCAAAUGUGCAUGGAGAAAGAGCACUGGCUCAACUGUCCCCAAAGUAUAGAGACAGAUGAUUAAUAGAUGCAUACAUACAUGUGUAUAUGUAUGUAUACACACACAUCCAUCCAUCCAUAUGCAUACAUACACACACAUCCAUACAUGUACAUACACAGAUAUGAUAUCACAUAGAAUAAAAUACUCCAACUGACGUCUGAACUUUUAAUUAAUUUUAAUUUUUUUUUUUUUAGUAUUAGCAUUAUUAUUUUUUGAGACAGGCUCUCACUCUUUCACCCAGGCUAGAGUGCAGUGGUGCGAUCUCAGCUCACUGCAGCCUCCACUUCCCAGGUUCAAGCGAUCCUCCCACCUCAGCCUCCCAAGUAGCUGGGACUGCAAGUGUGCUCCAGCAUGUGUGGCUAAUUUUUGUAUUUUUUGUAGAGACAGGGUCUCAUUAACUUACCCAGGCUGGUUUCAAACUCCAGGGCUCAAGCAAUCUACCUGCCUCGGCCUCCCAAAGUGCUAGGAUUACAGGUGUGAGCCACAGUGCCUGGCCUGAACUUUUAAAUCAAGAUUUUAUUUAUUUAUAAUUAUUUUAUUUCAUUAUUUUAUUUUAUUUUUGAGGCGGAGUCUCACUCUGUUGCCCAGGCUGGAGUGCAGUGACACAAUCUCAGCUCUCUGCAAACUCCACCUCCUGGGUUCAAGUGAUUCUCCUGCCUCAGUCUCCCAAGUAGCUCGGAUUACAGGUGCCCGCCACCACACCCAGCUAAUUUUUGUAUUUUUAGUACAGACGGGGUUUCACCAUGUUGGCCAGGCUGGUCUCAAACUCCUGACCUCAAGUGAUUUGCCUGCCUCAGCCUCCCAAAAUGUUGGAGGUUACAGGCGUGAGCCACCCCGCCUGACCUAAGAUAUUAUUUAUACAGAGACAUGCACACAGCGUAUGUGAACUUGCAUCAGAUCGAAUGGGAAUUUUCACAAACCACACACAUUGCUGUUGACAGCACUCAGAUCAACAUGCCAGCCCCUCUGACCCCCAUUUCCCUUAUUCCCCUCCCAGCCCCCAAUCUCCCCCUAAGAAUAGCCAUUGCUCUGACUUCAGCAUAGAUUCCUUUUGUCAUUUUUUGAUUUGAUGUAAAUAGAAUCCUAGAUUAUCUACCCUUACGUUUCAGAUUCAUCAAAGCUGUUGCAUGAUUUACUUUAUUUUAUAUUAUUUUAGCCUGUGCAUUCCCACGACUCUGCCCCUCUCCCGCCGAGUUCUCAGGAGCCCACCACUGGGAAGAAAAUCCUAGGGGAGGCCAGGCAUGGUGGCUCAUGCCUGUAAUCCUAGCACUUUGGGAGGCCGAGGUAGGAGGAUUGCUUGAGGCCAGGAGUUCGACACCACCGUGGGCAACAUAGCAAGACCCUGUCUCACCAAAAACUACAGAGAAGAGUAACCAGGCUUGGUGGCAUGCGCCUGUAGUCCCAGCUACUCGGGAGGCUGAGGUGCGAGGAUUGCUUGAGCCCAGGAGGUCGAGGCUGCAGUGAGCUGUGAUUGCACCACUGCAUCCCAGCCUGGGCAACAGAGCGAGACUCUGUCAAAAAAAAAAAAAAAGAGAGAGAGAGAAAGAGAAGGGAAGGGGAGGGGAGACAGAGAGAGAGAGAAAGAGAGAAAGAAAGAGAAGAGGGAAGGAAGGGAGGAAGAGAGGAAGGAAGGAAGGGAAAAAUUCUAGGGGAAGACUUUGCAAGGAAACAAACAUCUCUAGCUCUGUGAAGCUGUGAUCCACCAAGACAGGAUAUGGCCUCUGGGGCUUCUGUUGAGCUCCCAGAUCUAUGCCUCGGGCAAUGGGGAAUGAGAGACCACAGGGAUGGGUCUUAAGCUUCCCCAGACCUUCCUUCGUCCUUCCAGGAAUGCGCCAAGCAAAAGCAAGCUAAGAGCAGGUGCUGGGAGCAAACAGCUGCCUUGCAGGCAGGACGAGGAGCCUCUUAAGUCUGCAGCCCUAUUGGAAAGGCUGGAAGGAGAGAGCUCCCAUGGAUGGAGAAGCAGCCUCAGAUCCCCAAACUGUCUGCACCUCCCUCUAAGACAGGAUGGUGUCCGUGGGACAAUCGACCCAUGUGCUCUCUUCCCAAGCCCUGGGUCUGUACCAUGCCUAGGGACACAGAUGUGGGCCACAUUCCGCUGUCCAGACAACUUUCUUCUUCUCCUCUAAGGCCCAGAUUGAGUGACACCUCCCCUGUGAUGCCAGGUUGACCCUCUGUCCCCAUCUCCCCUAGACCCCUGCAGCUCCUUCUCCAGGACCGCUGGUGCCCGCGCCCAGUUCCGUUUCUUACGUAAGAGGUGAUGCCCCCAGGGUCAUUCCAGGGUGCAAAUCUGUCUAUGUCACCCUCUGUGGAAACCUCCCAUGGCUCCCAGUGACCUCCACUAACGCACUCCUACUCCUCCGUUCUGCAGGAUCUGGGCCCCCUGGCCUGGUUUCUUUCCACUCUGCCCUCCCAAGCUCCCACUCCAAGCCUCGCCUGCUAUUUCUUGUCUUUGUACUUUUUGGAUUGGGGCCAGCUGAUUGCAGUGCUCCCUGCCCGCCUUUAAACUAGCAAAGUUCUCUUUGUCUUCAAAGACUCGGCUGAAAAAUGCCUUUCCUCCAGGAAACCUUCCUUGAUGGCCCAGGCAGGGCUGGUGCCUCAUCUGACCUCUCAUACUCCCCACGCAUGGGCCCACAGGGUCUGGGCUGGCACAGGGCCCUGGAUGUGUCCCUCCAUGGAGAGAUGUCAGGGAGCCCUGGCCAGAUGGCCCAAAUGAUGAAUGUCUCCCAGGGAUGUGCCAGCCUUUCCUCCACACUGGGCCAGCAGGUGUCAAGGCAGUGGUGAUGCUUUGGGACCAAAGCCAACCUUGGAUAGCUCCUCUGAUUUGAGCUUCCUCUGAGCCCUCAACUGCCCCCCUACCAGGAUCCCACAGCCUCCUAAUAGAGCUCCCCACCUGCCUCAGCUCAUUCUCCACUUGGCAAGCAGAGAGCACCUGCUCACAUGCAGAUCUGUGAUGCUCCCUGCCUCAAACUCUCCAUGGCUCCCCAGUGCCUCAGGACAAAGUCUUGGUCUGGUUCCCAGUGUCUGCUGCCCCAUCCCCAGCCCUCACUCUAUCAGAGAAAAUAGGGCAGGUCCCCAAACUGUCACCCCCUUGAGCCCUUGUCCCCCACAUUGCCUCCACCUGGAGAACUCAUUCUACCCAGCCACUGGCCACCAGCACUCUAUAAACCAUUCCUGUUCUCUCUGACUGCUCCACAUCGGUCCCCCUGCAGUACCUCUUGCCACCCGUCCUGGGCCAUGAGACACUUUGGGGCACUGCUUUUCACUUGUCUAUCACCCACUCCAGGCUGUGGACUCAGGGCCGAGGCUCUACUUGGCUCAUCUCCAUGCCUGGGCCUGGCACACAGUAAGUGUUGAAUGAAUAAGUGAACGCGCCUAUUUUAUAGACAAGGCACAUGAGUCCCAAUACAGCAGCGACAGUGACUCUGGGCCACAGUGGAGUGCAGGCACGGGGCUUCUACGAGACAUCCUCUGAGGGUGUGAGCUGGUUUCUGGGCCCCCUGAGAUGUGGGACCAUGAUCCGCCCACUCCCACCUCACUCCAGGUCAGGCCCCAGCAGGGAACAGCAGAUUCGACCACCCCUCUAGGACCAGGAGGAAGGUGACCCCUGGAGCCAUCUUUGGGGACCUUUGAGAACACUUCUAGGGCCUGGAUCACCCAGGGCACCUGUUCUGCAGAGCCAGGAGCUUCUGGACAGGCCCCAGGCUAACCUCAGGGCCCCUCUCUGCCUCCAGGCAGGGCAAAGGUGGGCAGCGCCAGGAGGGUGCGGUAGGAGCCAGAGGCGUUGGGGAGAGGCCAGCCUGAUUUAUGAGGCAAGCAGGGAUGGGAUCACUUGGCAAGGUGGGCAUGCACGACAGACCCUCAGAGAUAAGAGCCCAGAGGUAUGCAAGCGAUGUAAACAGCUGGGAGCGGGCACCCCAGCUCUCCCGUACCAGCCAGAGACACCCAGACCGGGGAAGGGCAAAGCAGCCAUCUCAGAUGGAAGAAGGCCCCAUGGCCUCCCAGGACCGGGCCUCACUCCUGCUCCAGCCAGCCCGGACCCCUUGUUCCACGUCAUCAUUUCAACCGUGCCUAACUCUGCAUCCUCUCUCAAGGCAAACCUAGUCUCAGAAUUUUUCCUGGGUCCUUCAGGGCCCAACAACACUGCACCAGAGCAGGCCACCCCACCUCUCACUGACACCACCGCUUCCAUCUUCCAGACCUGAUUGUGUCACUUUGCUGCUGGGUCCCUGCUGCCUUCAGGAUGACACCCAAGCCCCUUAGCCUGGACGUGAGCCCCUCAUGACCAGACCCUGCCAGCCUCUCCUCCUUUGCAGUUCAUCAUGGCCCUCCUUAAGCUCAGCCAUCCUGACCUCCUGCACUUUCCUGAGUGUGCCCAGCAUUUCUUGCCACCUCUGGGCCUUUGCAGACGUGAUGCCUUGGCUCUAAUAGCCUUCUCUGCUCUGAUCUGCUGGUGAACUCCUAUGCAACCUUCAAAACCCAUCUCAUAGGUGCCCUCCUCCAGAGUCAUUCCUGCCUCUCUAAGGUAAGGUAGGGGCUGCCUUCAGCUCCUGCGGCACCCUCAUCCCAAUCCAGUCCUCUCAGUCAUAGUACUCAGCAUUCUUGCAAGCCUGCUACUCUCUUGAUGGGGGCUCUCCAGGGCGAAGUCCUCAGGAAUGCCCUCUGCAGGUCCCUGACCUCCACCUUGCGCUGUUGAGGACUCAGAAUCUCCAAGUUCAUGGCUGGGCGUGGUAGCUCAUGCCUGUAAUCCCAGCACUUCGGAAAGCAGAGACAGGAGGAUCACUUGAGCCCAGGAGUUCAAGACUAGCCUGGGCAACAAAGUAAGACCCCAUGUCUACAAAAAAAGUUUAAAAAAUUAGCCAGGUGUGGUGGUGUGUGUCUGUGGUCCCAGCUACAUGAGAGGCUGAGGUGGGCGGAUCACUUGAGCCCCGGAGGUCGAGGCUGCAAUGAGCUAUGAUUGCACCACUGCACUCCAGCCUGGGCGACACAGCAGAACCCUGUCUUAAAAAAAAAAAGAAUCUCCAAGUUCAAAGCUAAAGGCUCCCACCUUUUGUGAAGAGGCCCUGCACCAAGAGGAAAAAGAUCCAGCAUCCAACAUAGUCCUCCGCUCCACACACACACUCUCUGCAGUCCCCGCUAACUCAGCCCUGGGCCAACAGACAAAAGUACCCUGGCUAUGACCCUUCCUCCUGCCUCAAGUCAGGCGGAUUGCUUGAGGUCAUGGUCACGGCGGCCAUGUGAGGGGAAUGACCGGGCCCACUGACAGAGGAGGAAACUGAGUCUGGAGGUGGGGAGACAUAUCUACCCACGCCUACAGCAAACAGUGGGAGAGCAAGCUGUUUGACUCCCUAAAGCAGCCCUUUGUCGAGAGUAGGUUGAGGACAUACCCACUCCGGGGACACACCAGCUGGUGCCUGGGCAGGACAAUUGGCAAAGCAUGCUCAGUCAGGGGACUGGCAGUUGCAUGCAAGGACCUGGAAUGCACCGCUGCCUGCCCAGGGCUAAGGACACACAUCGGCAGGGUCAUACCAGUUGUCCCCGUGGAGCAGGGAGAUGGAUGUACAAGCUGAGCGCCCUGGCAGGAGACAGAACCAGGGCAUGGGCUGUGUCAUAGGCCGGGUGGCCACAGACAGCCUGUGUGGACGGGAACACAGCUGCGGGCCCACGACACAGCCACGCGGCGGUGUACCCAAUGCAGACCCCUGUGAUUGUGUGCGUGGCCCAGACUCCACUGCAGAUGGUGGCAGAAUGUGGCCAGUGUCACCCUGGAGGGAGAAUAGGGGGUUGGGAGCAGGUGGGAGCACAUGACCCAGUCUGGGGUCCCUAAAAGCAAGCAAGUCCUGAGCGCAGGUUGGAUUUGGACAGGACAGGGAUGUAGGAACUACAUUCUACCCAGGGGGAGUCAGGGAGCAGAAGCCCCUCCACAGGGGGAGGUGGAAGAGAGAGAGCCCCAGGAGUUCAGGGACCCCUACCAGAGCCAAGCUGGAGACCUCCCCCCAGGGGCUGGGCAAACGCACACAGCCCUCUGACGCCAAUCACCUCUGCCACCAAGCCCAGCAGCCACAAGGCAGGACUGUGCGUGCCGCCGCAAGCCCCCACCACUGCAGACAGCUGUGACCCCCUCCUCGCUGGCUUCCCACCGGAAUGCACGACUUUGGAAGGAGACUGUGUCAUCCAAGAAACAUUCUAUGUUUUCCUUGGUGCGUGCUCUGGGAACGGGGCAAGAACAGCCGUCCACAUGGCCGUUUGCAUGCUUGGGCGGCUGCCGGGCCGAGGGCCACCCAUGCCAGUAGUGUCCUCACUCCGGUGGGGCCUGGCCUCAGCAAAGCCACUCCCUGCACCACCUGCCUGGGAAACCUGGGGGAACAUCUCUGGGGCUGGGAUCUAGAGGGAAAGAAUUUGCAGGGAAGAGAGGUCACCCCCGCACCCAGCCCCCAGCUCUGCUGACCAAGCACUGUCUUUGACAGAGAGACACCCUGGGAGACAGAUGGGGUGCAAUAAGCACAGCCACAGCCCUCUGAGCCUCAGGCUUCCUCUCCAUAUAAUGGGCUCUCUCACGGCUCUGAGUCUCGGCAGUGGUGGGCUUCCUUGGGGACCCAAUGGUGGCAAGGGAGAGAGUGUUAAGGACCAAGCAGCUGCCAGCCUUUCCCCCCACUGCCCCUCUGGCCCUCAGAAAUGCCUCCCACCUAGGCAGCAGGUCUGGGUGUCACUGAGCCCAAUGCAUGAGGUGGCUGACAUCGUGCACCCACCGACCAGCCAGUCCUGGAUUUGCCCGCAGUAGAGCCUGCAGAGGGGGUGGCAGGUGGUACCUGCCCGCCAGCCCCCAGUCCUGGCCAACCACCCACGCUUCAGGGGUUAACUGCACACUCCAGCCCACUCCUGUUUUCAAUUUGGACACAGUGGACCAAGCUUAAGGAUUUGCACGUUUCCUUGAACAUUUCUCGGCUGGGGUCCGAGUCAGGCGGAUUGCUUGAGGUCAGGAGUUCGAGACCAGCCUGGCUAACAGGGUG